rnacentral:rRNA from 1 species
UACGAAGGGGGCUAGCGUUGCUCGGAAUCACUGGGCGUAGAGGGUGCGUAGGCGGGUCUUUAAGUCAGGGGUGAAAUCCUGGAGCUCAACUCCAGAACUGCCUUUGAUACUGAAGAUCUUGAGUUCGGGAGAGGUGAGUGGAACUGCGAGUGUAGAGGUGAAAUUCGUAGAUAUUAGGAAGAACACCAGUGGCGAAGGCGGCUCACUGGUCCGGUACUGACGCUGAGGUGCGAAAGCGGUGGGUAGCAAACGAGGAAUU